rnacentral:rRNA from 1 species
UACGAAGGGGCUAGCGUUGCUCGGAAUCACUGGGCGUAAAGGGUGCGUAGGCGGGUCUUUUAAGUCAGGGUGAAAUCCUGGAGCUCAACUCCAGAACUGCCUUUGAUACUGAGGAUCUUGAGUUCGGGAGAGGUGAGUGGAACUGCGAGUGUAGAGGUGAAAUUCGUAGAUAUUCGCAAGAACACCAGUGGCGAAGGCGCUCACUGGACACAUAUUGACGCUGAGGUGCGAAAGCGUGGGAGCA